rnacentral:rRNA from 1 species
UGGGGAAUUUGGACAAUGGGCGAAAGCCUGAUCCAGCAAUGCCGCGUGUGUGAAGAAGGCCUUCGGGUUGUAAAGCACUUUUGUCCGGAAAGAAAUCCUUGGCUCUAAUACAGUCGGGGGAUGACGGUACCGGAAGAAUAAGCACCGGCUAACUACGUGCCAGCAGCCGCGGUAAUACGUAGGGUGCAAGCGUUAAUCGGAAUUACUGGGCGUAAAGCGUGCGCAGGCGGUUUGCUAAGACCGAUGUGAAAUCCCCGGGCUCAACCUGGGAACUGCAUUGGUGACUGGCAGGCUAGAGUAUGGCAGAGGGGGGUAGAAUUCCACGUGUAGCAGUGAAAUGCGUAGAGAUGUGGAGGAAUACCGAUGGCGAAGGCAGCCCCCUGGGCCAAUACUGACGCUCAUGCACGAAAGCGUGGGGAGCAAAACAGGAUUAGAUACCCUGGUAGUCCACGCCCUAAAACGAUGUCAACUAGUUGUUGGGGGAUUCAUUUCCUUAGUAACGUAGCUAACGCGUGAAGUUGACCGCCUGGGGAGUACGGUCGCAAGAUUAAAACUUAAAUGAAUUGACGGGGUCAUAGCUGUUUCCU